CUGCUGUCCCCGCCGCCGGAAGGCUCCGCCGUCUUUGCUCCCCAUUCCCCGGGGCUGACUGAUUUGUUCGCGGCCCGGCCACCUUCCCUGACUGGAUCCCCUGCGCUCCCCGUCGUCGCCGCUGGGGAGAAUCGCGGCCCGCCCCCGUCGCUGAGUUGCUACCGGACGCGCCCGCCGGUCCUAUCGCGCCAGACGGUCUACGACGCCCUCUUCCCAUGAAUGAUUGUGCUUGGUGCAUCUAGAUCUAUGUUGGUUGGACACGCUGAAGAGGGGAUAUCUGUCCAUGAAGUUUGGUAACACACCGUUCCUGAAGUAUGUUGAACGCUGACGGAGGUAAGGAGAUAAAUAGCAUACCUGACGAGUCAAUGUAUUUUUUUUCUGGACCGUUACCGGGGAGGCAACGCACAAAGCUGACUUGUAAGCAACUCAAUCGAGCUUUUCUGCCGAUGCAACUUGGUCAAAGUAAUUAGUCGUCUUGCAAGAGAUAGACGAAUCUGGUGAUAAGGUUGCUAUAUAUUAUGACCGGCAAGGGACUUGAACGUAUCUAAGUAGGAUUCGGACUCCCUAGCUUAGUAGGAAUCGUACUCCCUUGUUAAUUAGUGUUAGGAGUCCCUGGCUACGUAGGAUUAAGAGUCCUACUCGGUUUUUGCUACAGUACCAAAUUGUGAACUUUUCAGUUUGCACUUCGUCCGGAUAAUUGUACGUGCAAUCAUUAGCACCUGCAGAAUAUCUAAAUAUCAAGGAAAAUAUAUUCGGGCUGAAAUUACCAAAAUGUGUAAGAAACUUUA